rnacentral:rRNA from 1 species
CCUACGGGUGGCAGCAGUGAGGAAUAUUGGUCAAUGGCCGAGAGGCUGAACCAGCCAAGUCGCGUGAGGGAAGACGGCCCUACGGGUUGUAAACCUCUUUUGUCGGGGAGCAAAGCGAGUCACGUGUGACUCAUUGAGAGUACCCGAAGAAAAAGCAUCGGCUAACUCCGGGCCAGCAGCCGUGGUAAUACGGAGGAUGCGAGCGUUAUCCGGAUUUAUUGGGUUUAAAGGGAGCGUAGAUGGGUUGUUAAGUCAGUUGUGAAAGUUUGGGGCUCAACCGUAAAAUUGCAAUUGAUACUGGCAGUCUGGAGUACAGGUGGGGUAGGCGGAAUUCAUGGUGUAGCGGUGAAAUGCUGAGAUAGCACGAAGAACCCCGAUUGCGAAGGCAGCUUACUAAACUGUGACUGACAUUGAUGCUCGAAGGUGUGGGUAUCAAACAGGAUUAGAUACCCGGGUAGUC